rnacentral:rRNA from 1 species
UAAAAACCGACAGGCCUGAGAAUGUAAAAGACGGGAAGGAUGCUCAGACACGAAGGGAUUAAGAUACAGGCCAGAAUCAUACGGGAGGGAGCAGUCAAGAAUAUUGCGCAAAGGAGGAAAGCCGGAUCCAGCAAUUCCGCGGGAGUGAGAAGUCCGUUGGGGAAUAAAGCUCUUUUACUCGAGAAGAUGAUGACGAUAGCGAGAGAAAAAGUUGGGGAUAACUCUGCCCCAGCAGCCGGGGUAAGACAGGGGGAACUAGCGUUGUUCGGAUUGACUGGGCGAAAAGGGUGCGUAGGUGGUCAUUUAACUAAGAUGUUAAAGCCCAGGGCUUAACCCUGGAAUCGCGUUUUAAACUGAGAGACUAGAGUGUGGUAGAGGAAAACGGAAUCCCUAGUGUAGAGGUGAAAUUCGUAGAUAUUAGGAGGAACACCGGAGGCGAAGGCGGUUUUCUGGGCCAUUACUGACACUGGGGCACGAAAGCGUGGGGAGCAAACAGGAUUAGAUACCCUGGUAGUCCACGCCCUAAACGAUGAGUGCUAGACGUCGGGUUUUCUCGGUGUCGCAGCUAACGCGUAAGCAUCCGCC